CUUCCGGUUUGGGUGUGGUCGUGGAGUGGGCUUUGCUGCAGGUGAUUGCAGGGAGUGGAAUGUUGCGACUGGCGUCUGGCAGAUGUAAACCGAACCAAAACACUGAAGGCAAUAUGCUGUAAAUGCAUCUGGAUAUGCCCUAAUUGGAUGAUAAAGGCACCUCAACCCCUUUAUGAAAGAGGAUGCUCAGAGCCCUACUCCAAAGAUGAAUUCAGCCACAGUCACUGUUCACCAUAGACUCAAACUAUACUAUCCAAUUUCACAUCUUUUUUCUUGACUGAAACGACGUUCAGAUCAUCUCCCUUCUCAUCUUCAGCUUGUUUUCUCAUCUUUGGUUUGGCAGCCAGCACCUCUAGCCUGGAGGCAUCAAACUUCAGCACACACCAGAAUCUCCUGGCCUGCCUAUUAAAGCAGCUUGUUGGACCCCCACUAGCAUUUACGCUUCAGUAUGCUUGGAUUGUCAUGGGAUUGUUAUCUGCAAUGGACUUGGAGACCUUAUGAAGGUAUUCCUGGGAACUACAUCUAUUGGGGCAAGCAAUUGUUGUAGAGGAACCAGCUAUCAGUGAAUAUGUGAUUUGUGGAUUAUGGAUUUAGAAAGAUCAGAAGAUAGAAAAAAAUCCCUGAUAUUAAAAGAGAAGACAUUAGGUGUUUGAUAGACCUUUGUGAUGGACCAGCAGGAACAAGUUGCCGAUGCUUCUAUCGGGUAAUUGGAGUAACUGUCCUUUCAUUUUUAAUUUCAUGCUGCAAAUUUAUAAUAUUGGGAGUAUUAAAUUACCUCAUAUCUAAAUUGGGGAUAAUAAAAGUAUUGCCUCAUGGGUUGAUUCUGAAUAUUAAAAGAGUUAAUUAAUAUACGUAAACUGCUUAGAACAGUAUCUAGCGCAUCGUAAGUGCCACUCUGCUUCUGUGCUUUGAGUAUUGCUGUUAAAAGCUGUCUACCCCCAAUUAACACCAAAUCUAAGGAAUACAUACUGUGGGGAUCCUGAUGAAGGACGCUUGUCAGGGUGAAGAUGAUCUUUGCAUUGCAGAUCAACAUGAUGAGAAGAGGGAUGAUGAAGAGGCAGGUGAAGGUGAAAAAGUUAUAAAAGGCUUGAUGCCACCAUUGUGGAAAACUGCAGUGUGUUACACAUUGAGAGAAACCUUCUGUCUGUCCAGAGUCAUCUUCUAAAUGGAUCAUCCUGAAGAUGUAUAACUGUAUAAGAAAAUUUUUAAAAAAGUGAUGUUGCUUAUUUUCAAACAGUAUUUGCAAGUUUUCUUGAAAGUUUUCUCUUCUGUAUUCUGCUAACCUUCUAACAUGUUGUUGCCCAAAGCAACUGCUAAGUAUCUUGAUAUUCUUUUGGCAUUUCUACAAAAAGUUAUAAGUGGAUUUUUACUUAAAAUAUGUUUGGGUAAUGUGAAUGGAUCUGUAGGAUUUUGGAUUUCUUUUGCAAUUAUUUCAACCUCGCAGCACAAUCAUCAACCAAAGAUUUAAACCUUGUUUGUAUUUCAAUUUCAGAUGCUAUUAUGCUGAGUAAACUUUUUGCGAGUGAUUUUGCAAGUGAUUUUAUUGUUAUAUCCUCAGCACAUAAAACUGUGUCUGGUAUUUAGAAUAUACCCUCAAAAUACAAAUUUAGAUUUUAUUUUUGAGACAAAAUCUCAUUAAAAUGGUCAUAAAACAUGAACAGUUUACAGAAAAGAUAUAACAGUGGCCCUUAAUCAUAUGAAAAGACGUUCAACCUCACUUAUGAGAGCAGUGCCAACCAAUUAAGGCUACAAUGAUAUGCUAUCUUCCACUAUCAAGAUUGGCAAAAUUAAAAAAAAAAUAGCACACUUUCAUGGUAAGGCUGUAGGGAAACAGGGACUCAUACAUUGCUAAUGGGAAUGCAAAUUGGUACAACCAUUAAGGAGGGGAAUUUGGCAAUAACUAGCAUAACUACAUAUGCAUUUACCUUUGACUCAGCAAUCUGACAUUCAGGAAUUUACCCUGAAGAUACACCCCCACUUUCAUUAUAUGAAAAUACAUAUGCACAAGAUUAUCCAUUGAUGCAUUGCUUAUAACUGAAAAACAUUGAAAAUAAUCUAAAUAACAAUUCAUUGAAUAGUAACUGAAUAAACUACAGUUGGCCACACAAUGGGGUGCUGUACAAUUGUAAAAAAAGAGUAAGGGUAACUUGUGUGUGUGUGUGUGUGUGUGUGUGUGUGUGUGUUUGCGUGUGUACACAUAAAUACAUUUAUUCCAGCUCUGCCUGUGGAGAGAGCCUAGGAAUAAUGACAUCUGAGUAGCAAUGAGCACACCCAGCACUCCAGCACCCAGAUCUUGUUUUCUAAGUAUCAUUCUCUAUCAGAAGGAACCAGACCUAACUGGAGAAAUGGGUGAUCCCAAGGCUGUGGAAAGCAAAGUACAAUAUGUCCUUGGAACAGCUGUUGUGCUGAAAAGUCAGGAAAUGCCCAGAGAAUGAUGGAGCAUGUGAAAAAUGUUCAGGCACCAGCUUGAAAGAGCUUCAGUUGGCCAAAUCUGGGAUAGUUUAAGCAUGAAAACAAACAAACACUGAUAGAAAACAAUGAUAAACUAUCGAAUAAAGAAAGAAACCAUGACUCCAUGCUGAUAUAAAUUACAAACCAACAACGACAAAUAAAUGGAGAGAGGAAAAAGCUCUUUACUGUAGAAAGUCAAUUAAUAAAUGUAAAAGGUAUAGUGGAAGUAGUGAUUACCAUUUUGUAAUCACUAUAAUAAUAAUUGAUUCAGGCAAGAAUCACCAAUGGAUGGUAAAAAUAUGGGUGUAAGUUUGAGGAGAGUAGUUUAUUUAUAUCAUCUCAAAGUAUCUACCUGCAGGAUACAUGUCAUUAUAACGUUAUUAUAAAAUAAUAACUUUACUAGUCAAGAAAUAACCAAAUAAUUAACAUUGCCAAUAAUGGGACCAAUUGACAGUUUCUGCUUCCUUCUAGAAUGUGCUGCUGUGUCACCUCUUAGGUAUUUUUUGCUAAAAGUGUGUGGAUGAAGAAUGUCACCUACCAUAUCAGUAAACAAAGAAUGUUGUGGCCAUCAAGCCAUAGCCCCUGCAACCACCCCCGACUGUGCACACUGAGGGCAUUCAGGAUGGAAAAAGGCAGGAUACUGGCUCUAGAUAGUUAAGGUGCAUUUCAAAGGGAUGAUUUCAAUAAGUCUGGACUCUUGCACCUUCCCAUACUUAGAAAAACACUAAAUUCAUUAACUUGAGAUAUAUCAUUUUUCUUUAAUUAACAAUAAUCUUUUGAUGUUCCGACUACCUGUUUUUUGUUGCAAAACAACCUAUACAUCCUGGCUCCUCCCUUGCUUCUUGGGAAUAUUACCUCAGAGUUAUCUGAGAGGCUGUCUUCUGGGCUUACGUCCUCAGAAAAUCUACUGAAUAAAACAUAAUUCUCAACUUUUAGGCUGUACACUUUUUUUCAGUCGACAAGUGCAUAACCUGAAUCUACCCACGAGCAAACAUCAGACAAACUCAAAUUGAGGGGCAUUCUACAAAAUAAUUGGCCUGCACUCUUCAAAAAUGUUAGCAUCAUGAAAUUCAAAGGAAGACCAAGGAAUGGUUCCAGUUUAAAGGAGACUAAAAAGACAUGGCAACUGAAUCCCUCGCAUAAUCUUGGAUUUUCUUUUGCUAAAAGGGAUAUUAUUGAGACAGCGAGUGAGAUAUGGAUAAGGUAUAUAGAUAAAAAAUAGCACUGUAUUAGUGAUAAUUUCCUGAUUUUGAUAAUUAGUACUGUGGUUAUGUGCUAGAAAAAACACAAUGAAGUAUUGAAAGGGACGUCAUGUCUGAACUUACUUUUAAACAAUCCAGAAAAAAAUGUACACAAGAGAGAGAAUAAGGCAAAUAAACAAAUGUAGUAAAAUGUUAAUAUUUGGGGAAUCAAGGGAAAGGUAUCCUAGAAAUCUUUGUAUGAUUCUUGCAACCUUUCUCUAAAUGUGAAAUUAUGUUAAAAAAAGAACAAGUUGAGUUAACUAUUAAGGAAACGUUGCAAGUGGUUUUCAAAAACAAGUUUUAGUGGACAUUUAUUUAUUCUUUCCCCAUCCAUCAAGCACAUUUCUGACUUCGUCAUUUCCAAGAUUUUCUACUGAAAAACUUCGUUUUACCAUGAAACAUUAAAAUGAAAAGAGUGCCCAAGCACUUAAAAACUGAUAGCAAGUUAAUUCAAGCAAAAAUGUUACAGGAUUUUUUAAGCAAAUGAGGGAGAGUAUACAUUUUCAUUAGUUUUGAUUAAAUUAGUAAAUUUAAAUUACAUUUAAUUAACUUAAUAGGCCCAGAAUUUCUUUCCUUUUGGGGAGGGCUGGAGUGGGAGUAGAU